rnacentral:rRNA from 1 species
GCUUGCUAGAAGAUGACGAGCGGCGGACGGGUGAGUAAUACUUAGGAAUCUACCUAGUAGUGGGGGAUAGCUCGGGGAAACUCGAAUUAAUACCGCAUACGACCUACGGGAGAAAGGGGGCAACUUGUUGCUCUCGCUAUUAGAUGAGCCUAAGUCGGAUUAGCUAGAUGGUGGGGUAAAGGCCUACCAUGGCGACGAUCUGUAGCUGGUCUGAGAGGAUGAUCAGCCACACCGGGACUGAGACACGGCCCGGACUCCUACGGGAGGCAGCAGUGGGGAAUAUUGGACAAUGGGGGAAACCCUGAUCCAGCCAUGCCGCGUGUGUGAAGAAGGCCUUUUGGUUGUAAAGCACUUUAAGCAGUGAAGAAGACUCUUCGGUUAAUACCCGGAGACGAUGACAUUAGCUGCAGAAUAAGCACCGGCUAACUCUGUGCCAGCAGCCGCGGUAAUACAGAGGGUGCAAGCGUUAAUCGGAAUUACUGGGCGUAAAGCGAGCGUAGGUGGCUUGAUAAGUCAGAUGUGAAAUCCCCGGGCUUAACCUGGGAACUGCAUCUGAUACUGUCAGGCUAGAGUAGGUGAGAGGAAGGUAGAAUUCCAGGUGUAGCGGUGAAAUGCGUAGAGAUCUGGAGGAAUACCGAUGGCGAAGGCAGCCUUCUGGCAUCAUACUGACACUGAGGCUCGAAAGCGUGGGUAGCAAACAGGAUUAGAUACCCUGGUAGUCCACGCCGUAAACGAUGUCUACUAGUCGUUGGGUCCCUUGAGGACUUAGUGACGCAGCUAACGCAAUAAGUAGACCGCCUGGGGAGUACGGCCGCAAGGUUAAAACUCAAAUGAAUUGACGGGGGCCCGCACAAGCGGUGGAGCAUGUGGUUUAAUUCGAUGCAACGCGAAGAACCUUACCUGGUCUUGACAUAUCUAGAAUCCUGCAGAGAUGCGGGAGUGCCUUCGGGAAUUAGAAUACAGGUGCUGCAUGGCUGUCGUCAGCUCGUGUCGUGAAUGUUGGGUUAAGUCCCGCAACGAGCGCAACCCUUGUCCUUAGUUACCAGCGGGUUAAGCCGGGAACUCUAAGGAUACUGCCAGUGACAAACUGGAGGAAGGCGGGGACGACGUCAAGUCAUCAUGGCCCUUACGACCAGGGCUACACACGUGCUACAAUGGUAGGUACAGAGGGCAGCUACACAGCGAUGUGAUGCGAAUCUCAAAAAGCCUAUCGUAGUCCAGAUUGGAGUCUGCAACUCGACUCCAUGAAGUAGGAAUCGCUAGUAAUCGCGGAUCAGAAUGCCGCGGUGAAUACGUUCCCGGGCCUUGUACACACCGCCCGUCACACCAUGGGAGUUGAUUGCAC